rnacentral:tRNA from 1 species
GUUUUAAUAGUUUAAUGUAAAACUUUGGUCUUGUAAACCAAGAAUGAAACUCAAUUUCUUAAAACU